AUCAUUAAUCCGAGCGAGCGUUGCUAACCCUCGGUUAGGAAUUUCCUCCCUUGUUAAUCCGAAAUCCAAAAUCCUCCCUGCCUCAUUGGCUUUGCUUUGGUUGCUUCCUUUUUGCCUUGUAGUUCCCAUCCAACCCCACAAGCACAGCACCACCCACCUAUCGCCCGCCGCCGCACGCGCGCCACCACCGGAAGCGAGCGGCGAGCACCGGAGAUGGGCGAGUACUGCGUCGCCGCGUCGGCGGAGGAGGGGGAGCCCGCGCUGGCCUUGACGCCGCCGCCGGCCAGGCGCCGCCACGCGUACGGCGAGCUCGACCGUUGCUCCACCAAGCAGGUCUUCGACAACCUCCACGGCAACAUCUCGCUCGACCCGUUGGCCCGUGAAUUUGUGGAUACUGAGGAAUUUCAGAGGUUGCGGGAUCUGAAACAACUAGGCCUUACAUAUCUGGUGUAUCCAGGGGCCGUCCACACACGUUUUGAACAUUCUUUAGGUGUUUAUUGGCUAGCUGGGGAGGCUAUGAACAACCUUCAAAUGUACCAGGGAAAAGAGCUUGGCAUUGACCGUGUUGAUGUGCAAAGUGUGAAACUUGCAGGUCUCUUGCACGACAUUGGACAUGGCCCCUUCAGUCAUUUGUUUGAGCAUGAGUUUCUUCCUCGUGUUCAUCCAGGAUCAACAUGGUCCCACGAACAUAUGUCUGCACUGCUGCUGGAUAGUAUUGUUGACAAACAUGCAAUAGAUAUUGAACCUGAUUAUCUCAAAGUUGUGAAGGAAAUGAUAGUUGCAAGCUCUGAGUUCUCCAAAACAGAACUUGUUUCUUCACAGGGUGCGAGGGAGAAGCGUUUUCUUUAUGACAUUGUUGCUAAUGGUCGCAAUGGUAUAGAUGUCGACAAGUUUGACUACAUUGACCGCGAUUGCAGAGCAUGUGGUCUCGGGAGUAACUUCCAGCACUGGAGGCUUUUACAAGGUAUGCGAGUGAUGGGUGAUGAAAUAUGCUACCCGGCAAAAGAUUAUCUGAGCAUCCAUAAAUUGUUUACGACACGUGCUGAUCUGCAUCGGACUGUCUAUACACAUGCCAAAGUAAAGGCUGUUGAACUGAUGCUUGUGGAUGCACUUGUUGAAGCUAAUGAUUACUUGGGAAUAUCUUUGCAUGCACAGGACCCAGAAGACUUUUGGAAGUUAGAUGACACAAUCGUUAAAAGCAUUGAAACUGCUCCCAAUGAUGAACUGAAGAAAGCAAAAGAAAUCAUUCAACGUAUUCGCCGAAGAGAGCUCUACAAGAUAUUGAUUCAGUUACUGCUUUUGAAUUGCAGUUCUGCAAUCAAUAUUCUGUUCCAAAGGAUAAGCUGGAGAAUUUCAAGGCUAUUACUGCACAAGACAUAGUUUGCUCGCAGAAAUCUUCUAAGGUGCUGCUGAAGGAAGAAGAUGUGGCGGUCAGCAAUGUGAAGAUUGAUUUGACUCGUGGGAAGGAUAACCCCCUGGAAAGCAUCAAGUUCUUUAAGGAUUACGGAUGCGACGAGAAGUUCCCGGUCAUAGAUGACCGCGUCAGCCACUUGCUACCUGCCUACAACCAAGACAGGAUCGUCAGGGUGUACGCCAAGAAGCCGGAGCUGGUCGAAGCGGUGUCGGAAGCCUUCGAGAACCUGCAGCUGAGGAUGUAUGGCGAGAAGACGCAGGUGCACGAUACACCCAAGAAGCGCAUCAGGGUCCAGUACUAGUAGUGACAGCUCGCAGUUGGAUAGUACUUACUACAAAGAAGAACAUAGAACAAACGAUGAAGGGACUUUUAUACUAGUAUACACCGAAAUCAACCAUAGCUGGUACGGUAUCUGCACAGGGGACACGCUGGUAUUGUACAGGUGAUAGACGAAAAGUGAAAAAUUAGUCCUGGUAGAGAUGCUGACACAGGAUCAGCUAGCUAGCGAGCAGAUAGCCUGGUACAUAUGCAAGUGCCUUUUGGUUUUUGGAAGUAAUCCCCACAUGCUUACCUAUAUACUACGGAGUACGUUUUUUUUUAAGGAUACCUAUAUACUAUGUCGAUGGCAUUGCUCCCCCGAUCGCACUGGAUCAAUUGUUAAUACACACACGCACAUAUCCCUAACUUCCAUUGUGACAUGAAUUUGGAUCCCUUUCUGUUUGAAGAACCCUUUGAUCAUGCCGAUUAUGUAUUUAAUGUGUAUCCUUUUAAUUUGA